rnacentral:rRNA from 1 species
GACGAACGCUGGCGGCGUGCUUAACACAUGCAAGUCGAGCGGUAAGGCCUUUCGGGGUACACGAGCGGCGAACGGGUGGGUAACCCGUGGGUUAUCUGCCCUGCACUUCGGGAUAAGCCUGGCGAACUGGGUCUAAUACAGGCUAUGACUUCCUCUCGCAAAGUUGGUUGUGGACAUAUUUAUCGGUUUAGGAUUGGCCCGCGGCCUAUCAGCUUGUUGGUGGGGUAAUGGAAUAUCAAGGCGACGACGGCUGGCCGACCUGGGAGGGUGACCUGCCACAGUGGGACUGAGGCAGGGCCCAGACGGCUACGUGGGGCAGCGGCGGAAGAUAGUGCACAAUGGGCGGAGGGCGGGUGCAGCGAUGCCGGGUGAGAGAUGACGGUCUUCGGGGGGGAAACCGCGUUCAGCUGGGACGUAGCGCAAGUGACGGUACCUUCAGAAGAAGCACCGGCUAACUACGUG